UGGCAGAAAACAGAUGCGUAAUUAUACAACCGUACGCCUUUGGAAAGCAGAAGUAAAGCCUCUGGCAUAACCAUCAAGAAUGCAGCAAGUGGUUUCUGGAUGCUCAGUGACUCUACGUUCUUCCAAUGGAUGGACAUCUCCUUCGUCUUUUCUGUGUGGGCAUAAUGGAAAAGCUCCACUUUGUUUCUGAUCAAGCACCUGCUCCUUGUUCAUUUGUCAACUCUCCAGCUUUAAUAACUCAGUUAAACAGGCUAAUGAGAGGGAUCAAGACUAAAGCUGAAGCAAUUGGAGAUGAGAGAGACAGACGAAGGUGACGCCUUCAGGAGUCAAGAUACUGCAGAGCUAAUGGAUUUGUCCCAGACGUCUAAGUGACAACUGAACCUCGCCACAAACAGGAUGAAUAACAAAGGCAACCAGUUCAAACGUGACUCUCUUUCGUCUUCGUUUGGCCCCAGAAGGGAUGAGAAAGAAAAAGGGAGCAAACGUCUCACAUCUCACCUCAUCUACGCCACAGCAUCCAUCCAUCAUCUGUGGCAGCCUAAAUUCCCAUUUUUCCAUCCCCUUAAAGCAGCAUAGCCAUUAAUGCAGAGGGGUUUCUUACAGAAAAGACUGUUCUUUGUAUCCUCUAAGAAAAAAAUACCACUCAAAGUAAUCUUGCCUCAAUCUAUGUUAAUGACCUUUUUAUAAUAUUUCAAAUAACCAUGUGUUUCUUGUUUUCUGACAGUCUUCAAAUUGCUGAAUCAAGUGCAGAUCCAGCUGUACAGGGUGUUGGAUUUUCUAAAAACAUCCCACCAGACAGACUCAAAUGCCAGAUUCAAGGCAGAUUUGAAUUGAGAGUCAUCCGCAGUGAGAGAGGAGCGAGCUCACCAAAUGACCCCAAAGAUUUAUUUUUGAAGAAUCCUCUGUGUAAUUUCACUUAUAAUACUAAAAUAAACUUUAAAGAUCUCUAGGCAAUAAUGGCACACACAAACCCAGCUCUCAUGCAUUCAGCUGUAAGUUUUGGUAGAAAAGGAAAUGUGUUUUUUUUUUUUCAUUUACUUGAAACUCUAAUUUUGAAAACCCUUCUUUCAGCAGCACUAAGGUGGUAAUAACCCCCACCCCAAAAUUUGUAGAUGCAAAUUCAGUGAUGUGUAAGCAUUUUAGAUUUUGACACAAACGUUUAUGAAUUACUGAGAAGUUAAAAGUAAAAAAAAAUCUGUUCAAUAACCCCUUACUGAAGCCCUAAUCAAACUUCUUACUGUGUUUACAUCACACACAACUCUAUGCAUAUUUCCUAUUGAUUAGAUAUGCAAAUAGGUACUGAAAAAAAUUAUUCAAUCAUCAAGGCUGUGACUGACGUCCUGGAAAAUGGAAUGAAUUAUAUAAUAAUAGUGUUUUUAAAGAUUUGUUGUUUUACAUAAUUGCAAAGGUGAAAUGUAUGCAGUAAAUUUGUCAAAUAAAUAUGACUUCAGCUGUUGGACCUUGCCACUCUCCUUCAAAUUGUCCAAAUAAAUCCUUGAAAUGUAA